rnacentral:sRNA from 1 species
AGAUUUCACAAUGAAGCUGGUUCUGUUUCUAAGUCUUCUCUUUGUUUGCUACUCAUUGAGUGAAGCUAUUGAUUGCAUUCAGGGCACAGAAAACUGCUUAAAUAAUCCAACAACAUCCAAUGUUUAUCAAGAGAAUUACUGCUGUGAGUCAGUCAGUCACAAACCAUUCGUAUACACUGGAUACUUAGCAGAAAGACAAUAUGUCCGCUGCGUUUGUUUCUGACCACAUGAUAAGAAGAUAUCGAUAACCAGGUCGCUGUUUAUUGUGUUAUAAAGGAAAAUGCCUAAUAAAAGUAUUUGCUUUGUGU